rnacentral:rRNA from 1 species
CCUUUAAACCCUUUUUGCAUCUAGUAAUACACCUGUUCUGAAACAAAUUUAAUCGUUACAACUUUCAACAAUGGAUCUCUUGGCUCUGGCAUCGAUGAAGAACGCAGCGAAAUGCGAUAAGUAGUGUGAAUUGCAGAAUUCAGUGAAUCAUCGAAUCUUUGAACGCACAUUGCGCCCCUUGGUAUUCCAUGGGGCAUGCCUGUUCGAGCGUCAUCUACACCCUCAAGCUCUGCUUGGUGUUGGGCGUCUGUCCCGCCUCCGCGCGUGGACUCGCCCCAAAUCCAUUGGCAGCGUUCCUUGCCCCCUCUCGCGCAGCACGAUGCGCUUCUUGCGGGCGGCUCCGGGGCGCGUUCCACCAAGAUGACCACCGUCUUUGACCUCGGAUCAGGUAGGGAUACCCGCUGAACUUAAGCAUAUCAAUAA